ACGGCGAGUGAAGCGGCAAAAGCUCAAAUUUGAAAUCUAGCACCUUCGGUGUUCGAGUUGUAAUUUGAAGAUGGUAACCUUGGGUUUGGCUCUUGUCUAUGUUCCUUGGAACAGGACGUCAUAGAGGGUGAGAAUCCCGUCUGAUGAGAUGCCCAUUCCUAUGUAAGGUGCUAUCGAAGAGUCGAGUUGUUUGGGAAUGCAGCUCUAAGUGGGUGGUAAAUUCCAUCUAAAGCUAAAUAUUGGCGAGAGACCGAUAGCGAACAAGUACAGUGAUGGAAAGAUGAAAAGAACUUUGAAAAGAGAGUGAAAAAGUACGUGAAAUUGUUGAAAGGGAAGGGCAUUAGAUCAGACUUGGUGUUUUACGAUUAUCUUCUCUUCUUGAGUUGUGCACUCGUAUUUCACUGGGCCAGCAUCGAUUCGGAUGGCAAGAUAAUGGCAGUUGAAUGUGGCUUCACUUCGGUGGAGUGUUAUAGCUUCUGCUGAUAUUGCCUGUCUGGAUCGAGGGCUGCGUC
rnacentral:rRNA from 1 species